CGGACGGGUGAGUAAUGCCUAGGAAAUUGCCCUGAUGUGGGGGAUAACCAUUGGAAACGAUGGCUAAUACCGCAUAAUGCCUACGGGCCAAAGAGGGGGACCUUCGGGCCUCUCGCGUCAGGAUAUGCCUAGGUGGGAUUAGCUAGUUGGUGAGGUAAUGGCUCACCAAGGCGACGAUCCCUAGCUGGUCUGAGAGGAUGAUCAGCCACACUGGAACUGAGACACGGUCCAGACUCCUACGGGAGGCAGCAGUGGGGAAUAUUGCACAAUGGGCGCAAGCCUGAUGCAGCCAUGCCGCGUGUGUGAAGAAGGCCUUCGGGUUGUAAAGCACUUUCAGUCGUGAGGAAGGUAGUGUAGUUAAUAGCUGCAUUAUUUGACGUUAGCGACAGAAGAAGCACCGGCUAACUCCGUGCCAGCAGCCGCGGUAAUACGGAGGGUGCGAGCGUUAAUCGGAAUUACUGGGCGUAAAGCGCAUGCAGGUGGUUUGUUAAGUCAGAUGU
rnacentral:rRNA from 1 species